AUUGGGCCACAUAAGGAUAAACUGC
rnacentral:piRNA from 1 species